ACUUUGCAGCGUCACUGCUGCUGGUCCUAAAAGUAUUAGCUGGCCCUUGUCAAGACUUGGUUCUACUCGGCGUGAUAAUUAUCUAACGUUGAGGACAUUCCUUCGGGGAUGGCCAAUCUAGCUAGGAUCGCUUCUAAUCGUCUUCGGACAAUUUUCAAUGAUCUGGCCUCGAAUCAGGUGGGACUACCCGCUGAACUUAA
rnacentral:misc_RNA from 1 species